ACCAAAUCUGUUUCCAGGCAGUGGGCAAGCAGGGCUGAGAAUUGCCCCAGACUACCCACCUCCCAGCUGCAAAGGAAAAGGGCUCAGUUCUUCCCCCACCUGUGGAGUCUGCAUGCUGGAUUCCCGUUCUCCCCAGAGUUCUGGCCAGGAGGCUUCUUGCCUGGUUCAAAUUGUUAUGAAGUUCAGCUGGAGACUUCCUUCUCCCUGUGGCAUUUUCCCCACACCUCUAGCUGCCCUCCUGAAGGAUCCUGGUGGUGCCAGGAGCAGUCUGCUUCCUUCAAGAGGGUCUGUGGGUCCUCUCGGCAUUCCUGGUUUAUUCCUGCAGUUGUUCUGGAGCUAAAAUUCAUGAUGUGAGCCUCCGUAUGCUGCUCUGUCUGUCCAAGUCGGAGCUGCAAUCUGGUUCUGCCUCCUGUCUGCCGUGGUGAUCCCUGUUGUAGUUUCUGUGUGUCUUCUUUUGAGAAAUGCCUUGCGCCCUCCCGCUCUUCCAGGAUAACUCAGGGCCUCCAUCUCCUCCUUUGAAAACUGUAAGUGACAUCUACCUCCAGGUCAUAUUUAAUACCUUUCACAACUGGUAUGUCCCAGGCCACUGAGAAUAGAAGUGGAUUAUAAAUAAUUCAUUAGGACUUACCGGUGCCAACCAUCUGAAUAUCAGCCCUCUUGGGGUUAAAUUAAGUGAGUUAAGUGAGAAUUAAGUGAGGUAAUGUGCUUGGCACAGUAAUAUGAAGUGGCUAUAGGGUUAUCCUCAUGGUCCUGGAUGCCCAGAACGUGAAUGGUCUCACUGAGAUUACAUGAGGUGCCAGUGGGCAGCAGCCUGCGAUGAGACUCUGUGAACACACCCAAGGCCUUAAAGGAGAGAGAAUGCUGUGGCACUCUCAGAGAAGAAACCCAGGAUGCUUUGGGGAAGAGGCUGGCAGCCUGGUCUUGUUUUCUGCACGUGGAGGCCUCUGGACCAUGCACCUGACUAUCAAGCCUGUACAGAAGGCAGAGGCGAGGCAGGAGUUAAGCGGUCUGUGAAGGAGGAGACCUGCUCUAUUUCUCAGCUGUUGUUCUGUUGAAACAGGUGGAUGAGUUUGAGCCUGAAAGGUAAUAAGUAAAGGAGAAAGACUGGGAGCACUAGGCUCUGGGAUGCCCUCUGCAUGAGAAAGAUGGGCACUAAACCUGUCUGAGGGGAAGGUGUAGACAGAAAUAAACACGCCACAGCCUGGAGUCCAGAACCUUGAAAGUUUAAUGAGAACAGUUAGUGAAGCACUGCCCUGUGAUUCAUCUCCUCACAAACAACACUUAAAUCACGUAGGAUCAGGGUAGACAACGAUCAUUUCAUUUAGCUACUUAAAGGUUAUUUGGAACUCUUAAUAGCAUGUUGUCAAUAGGACCUGGCUUCUAAAUCCAGGCAGAUAAAAGUCCAUUCGUUCCCCAGAGUGGAGGACUUAGGAUCUAAGCCAACUCCAUAAGCCUGAUGCACCUGAAUACGUGAGAAAAGGCAAAAGGAGAUGGGAGUGAAGGGAGUUGAAGGGAGUUGCUGUGGUUUUGUGGGGUUUUUUUUUUUUUUACUUUUAAAAAAUUAUUUUAUUUUUUCAUGAUCGCCUCCCAAUAAGUCUUAGAAAAGUAAUAUUGAGGCCAGUGUUAUUUUAUUUUUUCAUGAUCGCCUCCCAAUAAGUCUUAGAAAAGUAAUAUUGAGGCCAGGCGCAGUGGCUCACGCCUGCAAUCCCAGCACUUUGGGAGGCCAAGGCGGGCAGAUCACUUGAGGUCAGGAGUUUGAGACCUGUUCGAGCCUGGCCAACAUGGCAAAACCUCAUCUCUACUAAAAAUACAAAAAUUAGCUGGGCAUGGUUGUGGGUGCCUGCAGACCCAGCUACUCAGGAGGCUGAGGCAGGAGGAUCACUUGAACCCAGGAGGCAGAUGUUGUAGUGAGCUGAGAUCGUGCCUGUGCACUCCAGCCUAGGUGACAGAGUGAGACUCCAUCUC
rnacentral:lncRNA from 1 species